rnacentral:rRNA from 1 species
AGAGUUUGAUCCUGGCUCAGGAUGAACGCUGGCGGCGUGCUUAAUACAUGCAAGUCGAACGGAGAGUUUUGUAGUAAUACGAAACUUCUCAGUGGCGAACGGGCGAGUAACGAGUUGGUGACCUGCCCCGAAGUGUGGGAUAACAGUCCGAAAGGAUUGCUAAUACCGCAUGUGAUCAUUGGUUUUAGAAUCUGAUGAUUAAAGCAGUAAUGCGCUUCGGGAGGGACCUGCUUCCCGUCAGCUAGUUGGUGAGGUAAUGGCCCACCAAGGCUACGACGGGUAAGGGACCUGAGAGGGUGGUCCCUCGCAAUGGCACUGAAACACGGGCCAUACACCUACGGGUGGCAGCAGUAGGGAAUAUUGGGCAAUGGGCGAAAGCCUGACCCAGCAACGCCGCGUGCACGAUGAAGGCCUUCGGGUCGUAAAGUGCUUUUCUGAGGGAUGAGUAAGGACAGUACCUCAGGAAUAAGCCUCGGCUAACUACGUGCCAGCAGCCGCGGUAAAACGUAGGAGGCAAGCGUUAUCCGGAUUUACUGGGCGUAAAGCGUGUGUAGGCGGUUCGGCAAGUUGGAUGUGAAAGCUCCUGGCUUAACUAGGAGAGGUUGUUCAAUACUACCGAACUUGAGGGCAUCAGAGGAAGGUGGAAUUCCCGGUGUAGUGGUGAAAUGCGUAGAUAUCGGGAGGAACACCAGUGGCAAGGCGGCCUUCUGGGAUGUUCCUGACGCUCAGACACGAAAGCUAGGGUAGCGAACGGGAUUAGAGACCCCGGUAGUCCUAGCAGUAAACGAUGUAGACUUGGUGUCGGAGGUGUCAAAACCUUCGGUAUCGUAGCUAACGCGAUAAGUCUACCGCCUGGGGACUACGGCCGCAAGGUUAAAACUCAAAGGAAUUGACGGGGGCCCGCACAAGCAGCGGAGCGUGUGGUUUAAUUCGAUUUACACGAAGAACCUUACCCAGGUUUGACAUGUUGGUGGUAGGAAUCCGAAAGGUGACCGACCCGCAAGGGAGCCUUCACAGGUGCUGCAUGGCUGUCGUCAGCUCGUGUCGUGAGAUGUUCGGUUAAGUCCGCUAACGAGCGCAACCCUCGCCGUAUGUUACAUGUGUCAUGCGGGACCGUCGGUAUCAAGCCGGAGGAAGGUGGGGAUGACGUCAAGUCAGCAUGGCCUUUAUAUCUGGGGCUACACACACGCUACAAUGGCCGGUACAAUGGGUCGCUAAGCCGCGAGGUAGAGCCAAUCCCUCAAAGCCGGUCUCAGUUCAGAUCACAGGCUGCAACCCGCCUGUGUGAAGUUGGAGUUGCUAGUAAACGCGCGUCAGCUAUAGUGCGUUGAAUACGUUCUCGGGCCUUGUACACACCGCCCGUCACGUCAUGGGAGCUGGUAACACCUGAAGCCGGUAGCCUAACCGCAAGGAGGGCGCUGUCGAAGGUGGUGCUGGUGACUGGGACGAAGUCGUAACAAGGUA